rnacentral:RNase_P_RNA from 1 species
CGCGCCGGACGGGCAGUCGCUCCCGUUCGCGGGGGAGGAAAGUCCGGUCUCCACAGGGCAGCGUGCCGGCUAACGGCCGGGGGGGCGGUCUCAAAGGCUGCUUCACGGAAAGUGCCACAGAAAAUAUACCGCCGCAGCCCGAUUUAGGGCUCCGGUAAGGGUGAAAUGGUGCGGUAAGAGCGCACCGCGGCCGGAGUAAUUCGGCUGGCAGGGCAAACCCCACGCGGAGCAAGACCAAAUAGGGGGGGAGGAGCGGCCCGCUCCGUUCGACUCCCGGGUAGGUCGCUAGAGCCGUUCAGCAAUGGGCGGUCGAGAUGAAUGACUGCCGCCCGCGAGGGCACAGAAACCGGCUUAUAGUCCGGCGGGUCCA